GGACGAACGCUGGCGGCGUGCUUAACACAUGCAAGUCGAACGAUGAAGAAAAGAAUCGAAGCUUCGGCAGAACUUCAUUUCGGAUUAGUGGCAGACGGGUGAGUAACGCGUGAGCAACCUACCUCUUACAAAGGGAUAGCCUCGGGAAACCGGGAUUAAUACCAUAUAACAUUGCGACGAAGCAUUUCGAUGCAAUCAAAGCUACGGCGGUAAGAGAUGGGCUCGCGUCCCAUUAACCGGAUGGUGAGGUAACGGCUCACCAUAGUGACGAUGGGUAACCGGCCUGAGAGGGUGAACGGUCACACUGGAAUUGAGACACGGUCCAGACUCCUACGGGAAGCAGCAGUGGGGAAUAUUGCACAAUGGAGGGAACUCUGAUGCAGCGACGCCGCGUGAGUGAUGAAGGAAUUCGUUUCGUAAAACUCUGUUCUAUGGGAAGAAAAGGACUGUACCAUAGGAGAAAGCUCCGGCUAAAUACGUG
rnacentral:rRNA from 1 species